GACGAACGCUGGCGGCGUGCUUAACACAUGCAAGUCGAACGGAAAGGCCCUGCUUUUGUGGGGUGCUCGAGUGGCGAACGGGUGAGUAACACGUGAGUAACCUGCCCUUGACUUUGGGAUAACUUCAGGAAACUGGGGCUAAUACCGGAUAGGAGCUCCUGCUGCAUGGUGGGGGUUGGAAAGUUUCGGCGGUUGGGGAUGGACUCGCGGCUUAUCAGCUUGUUGGUGGGGUAGUGGCUUACCAAGGCUUUGACGGGUAGCCGGCCUGAGAGGGUGACCGGCCUCAUUGGGACUGAGAUACGGCCCAGACUCCUACGGGAGGCAGCAGUGGGGAAUAUUGCACAAUGGGCGGAAGCCUGAUGCAGCAACGCCGCGUGCGGAAUGACGGCCUUCGGGUUGUAAACCGCUUUCGCCUGUGACGAAGCGUGAGUGACGGUAAUGGGUAAAGAAGCACCGGCUAACUACGUG
rnacentral:rRNA from 1 species